CAAGAGCCCGGUCGCCCUGGCAGCCUUCGACGGCUUCUUCUCUGCUUAACGAGUAGUGUGUGAAUUGAUUCGGAGGAGUUUACCUCUCCCCCAGUGUCAUGUACUGUAACUCCGAUGUGUACAUAACCGUGUGGUUUGCUGAUUUGCAACAAGGAAGAAGUGUGCUUUUUGUACCGCUCUUGGUACCUUCUUGGAGGGCAGAUAUGCCUAUGCGUUUUGCCAUUUUAUCUUUGAAAUUUCGUGUCAAGCUGCCAACAGACUAGUCUGGUUGUCUUGGCAUACUCGAGUGGUUUUGCCGACUGCUGAUGCUUGUUUGAAGCCCCAACCUUCAUCCAAUCCCUUCAAAUCUUUAUUUAUCCCUAAUACAUUAGGUAGAAGUAGUGUAUUGAGUAUUGAGAAAAAUGCAUUAUAAUUUGAGGAGAAAUAUGGGGAUGAAACAUGUCAAAUACACUAGAAUAAAAUGGUGUUAUGGGAUGUGUGGUGAUCGAGUAGUUUGACCAGAAUAAUCCCCAUAAAUUUCCUAAAAUACACUAGUACCAACGAGUAGUUUGACCAGAAUAAUCCCCAUAAAUUUCCUAAAAUACACUAGUACCAAACAAGUCCUUGAUGGUGGCACCCCGACACAGCAAUAGCUCAUCAUAUGAAACCAAAAUGGGGUUAUUAUGGCCCGGUUUAAAGGCGUUAAACAGGGAUGCAAACAUGUUCGCCAAAUCAGCGGCGAUGAGGACCGAAGACCGCCGCGUCAAGUGGCAGGGCUGAAACCGCAUCACCUCCAUACAGGUUUACUAGAUGUGAGAAAAUUCGUUUGGUAGCGUACACGGAGGUCUAGUUUGCACUCACACGAAUCAUAAAGCAGCUCAUAGCAUGGCUAGUUAGAGCAUCUUCAACAAACGAGGCUGGGCGCGCGUAACGACCGUUUUUGCGACGCUGCAAAUUUUUAACACGUCAACAUGUCGCUUCAACAGACGCUAUAACAAAUCAAGCGCGCGUUCAGCUGAUGCACAUAUAAGAUGAUCAAACAUUCAAAAUAUGCAAAGUUUGCACAAACAAAAUGAGCACAAGCAAGUUCAUGACAAACAAGUUCACACAAAUAAAUUAAACAUGAACAAUCAUUCUUCAUCCUCUUCUUUCCGCAAAAAAGAAAAAUUCUUUAUCCUCUUCCUCAUCGUUGGCCUCUUUCGAUUUGUCCGUUUCUUCUUCUGAUUUUUCAUCCUCUUGUUUGUUCUCUUUCUCAUUGAAAAGUCGAAUGGUGUUUGAACUAUCAAUAAAGUAGCAGUUCAUAGCAUGGCUAGUUAGAGCAUCUUCAACAAACGAGGCUAGGCACGCGUAACGACCGUUUUUGUGCUUCAUCAGACGCUGCAAAUUUUUAACACGUCAACAGACGCUAUAACAAAUCAAGCGCGCGUUCAGCUGACGCACAUAUAAGAUGAUCAAACAUUCAAAAUAUGCAAAGUUUGCACAAACAAAAUAAGCACAAGCAAGUUCAUGACAAACAAGUUCACACAAAUAAAUUAAACAUGAACAAUCAUUCUUCAUCCUCUUCUUUCUGCAAAAAAAAUAAUUCUUUAUCCUCUUCCUCAUCGUUGGCCUCUUUCGAUUUGUCCGUUUCUUCUUCUGAUUUUUCAAUCUCUUGUUUGUUCUCCUUUUCAUUGAAAAGUCGAACGGUGUUUGAACUAUCAAUAAAGGUAUCAUACAAGGCAUGUGAGGCACACCGAAAACUCCCAUCCAUCCAUGCCAUCGAAAGCAUGUGAGAACAACUAUGCCAUCGAAAGCAUGUGAGAACAACUAAAAUCAGACUACAUAUGCGCACAUUUGCCAACAACAACAAAAUAAAAACAAAAAUUGUACCUUGUGAGCAUUUCAUCAAGGAUUAUGUGUGCAUUGGCCGCCGACGCAACAAAUUGCGAGGUUUUCACCGCUUCGCGCGGCGGAGGUACGGCCGGCUUCACUCGUGUCUUCUUCUUUAUUACCGCUUUCCNNNNNNNNNNNNNNNNNNNNNNNNNNNNNNNNNNNNNNNNNNNNNNNNNNNNNNNNNNNNNNNNNNNNNNNNNNNNNNNNNNNNNNNNNNNNNNNNNNNNUUGAGGGCCAAGGCAGGAGAGCCACACGGGGCCCACAAGCCCUGUAGCCGCCACCACGGGGGGGGGGGGCUACCAGUCUUGUGGACCCCCUGGAGCUCCCCUGCCCUAGCUCUUUCGCCUAUAAAUUCCCUAAAAUCCCAGAAAAAAAUCAGGGCAUCCACGAAAACACUUUUCCGCCGCCGCAAGCUUCCGUUUCCGCGAUAUCUCAUCUGGAGACCCUUCCCGGUGCCCUGCCGAAGGGGACUUUGGAGUUGGAGGGCUUCUACAUCAACAUCAUCACCUCUCCAAUGACUCGUGAGUAGUCCACUUCAGACCUACACGUCCGUAGCUAGUAGCUAGAUGGAUUCUUCUCUCUCUUGGAUCUUCAAUACAAAGUUCUCCAUGAUCUUCAUGGAGAUCUAUCCUAUGUAAUCCUCUUUGGUGGUGUGUUUGUCGAGAUCCGAUGAAUUGUGGAUUUGUGAUCAGAUUAUCUAUGAAUUGUAUUUGAGUCUUUGCUGAUUUCUUAUAUGAUGAUUUGAUAUCCUUGUAAGUCUCUCCGAGUCUUGGUUUUGUUUGGCCAACUAGAUCUAUGAUUCUUGCAAUGGGAGAAGUGCUUGGUUUUGGGUUCAUACCGUGUGGUGACCUUUCCCAGUGACAGAAGGGGCAGCAAGGCACACAUCAUGUUGUUGCCAUCAAGGGUAAUAAGAUGGGCUUUUAUCAUAGAUAUGAGAUUGUCCAUCUACAUCAUGUCAUCUUGCUUAAGGCGUUACUCUGUUCUUAUGAACCUAAAACACUAGAUGCAUGCUGGAUAGCGGUCGACGUGUGGAGUAAUAGUAGUAGAUGCAGAAAGUAUCGGUCUACUUGCUUUGGACGUGAUGCCUAUAGAUAUAAUCAUUGCCAUAGAUAACAUCACGACUUUGCGCGGUUCUAUCAAUUGCUCGACAGUAAUCCGUUCACCCACGGUCUAAUUGCUUUCAUGAGAGAAGCCACUAGUGAACACCACGGCCCCGGGUCUAUCCAUAACUAUCGUCUCCACUUCCACUUUUACUUUGCUUUUUUACCUUUUUGCUUUCAGUUCUCACUUUGCAAACAAUCUAUAAGGGAUUGACAACCCCUUCAUAGCGUUGGGUGCAAGCUCUUUGUGUUUGUGCAGGUACUUGUGACUCGACGCGAUCCUCCCACUGGAUCGAUACCUUGGUUCUCAAACUGAGGGAAAUACUUACCGCCGCUGUGCUACAUCACCCUUUCCUCUUCAAGGGAACACCAACACAAGGCUCCAAGGCCGCGGGGAAAUCCUUUGCAUAUUUGCCAAGGAAGUCCCUAUAGGCGUAGCCAGUAGCAGCAGGAUUCCUGGCGCCGUUGUCAGGGAAGGUCUGUUGUCACAGUAGCAGAAGGAUUUCUAGAGCCGUUGCCGGGGAGGAGGAUCGCUUGCCGAGGAGUAUCAAGACAAGAAUAAUCUCCCGUCAACACGCCUAUUUCUAGCAUGGGGAAGGGAGAUCAAGUCAAGAUCUAUCAAAGUAGGUGUCACAAACUCAUCUCUUGCAUUUACUUUUUUUGCCAGUUGCCUCUCGUUUUCCUCUCCCCCACUUCACAUUUGCCGUUUUCAUUUGCCUUUCUCCUUUGCCGUUUUAUUUUUCCUUUUCUCCUUUGCCGUUUUCAUUUGCCUUUCUCCUUUGCCGUUUUCUUUUUUCCUUUUGCCGUUCUCUUUUGCCCGUUUCACUCACUUUCUUCCUGCUCGUUUGUGUGUGGGAUAGUCCAUCAAUGGCUAGACCCACCACUCCAAACGAUACCCCUGAGAACGAAGUUCUCAGUUUCAAGCAGAAUGAGGAAGAAAAUUUAAAGGACACUUGGUACAGGAUUUGCAAUGCUCAAAGUAGAUCUACUCGUAAGCAGUCCACUACCGUUCUUCUUCGCAGUUCUUAUGUUGGAAUCUCUCCUUGGAAUAGGUAUAUUCUUGAUACCAUCGUAGGCGGGAAUUUUUUGGGGAUCCAUACCGUUGACUCCUAUGGAGCUAUCAUGAAUUUGGUAGGCUCACCCCCGCUCAUGGUUAAUGGAACUACCUUGACCUUGGAACACGUGAUGCAAAGGCUUGACGCUAUUGAAAACAAAAUUGCCACAAUUGAAUUUAUUGAGGGUUUGGAUGGAAAGAUCCACAAUCAAAUUACUCAGUACGGAUCCAAAGUGGGAAUGGUUUUGAAAAAUUUAAGGGAGAAGGAACCUAUAGUUAAUGAUUCCUCUAGAAUUGGCAAACUAGAAGAUGUCAUAACCAACUUGGGUUGUGCUUUUGCCGCUGUGCAAAAUACUCCAAAUCUCACUCUCAAAAAGACCGUCAAGUCUGUUUUUGUUCCUAAAGCUAGUGGUGAGUCAUCCAAUAAAUAUGAAGACCUUAAGAUGAUAAAUGAUCACGCUACUUAUGGUUUGAGCACCAAAGAUGACUAUACGUGAUUCCAUCACCUUUUGCCUAGCUAAGGGCGUUAAACAAUAGCGCAUGUUGGGAGGCAACCCAACGAAUCUAUCAUUUUUCUUUCUAUUUUGUGUUUUCCACACUUUCAUAAUUCUGUUAUGAUUGUGUUUUUUGUGUUUCUUUUUGCGUUUGUGCCAAGUGAAACCGUUAUGAUUAAUCUUGGGGAUGAUCGUUUGGUCAUGCUGGAAAAGACAGAAACUUUCUGUUAACGAAAAGAAUUUUCAUUUUUUUUAUGUAAGAGAUUUUGAGUUGAUUCUUUUUUGCUUCUGAUUGCUACGCACAUUCUUCAGACUGUUGUAAUUUUUCAGAAUUUUGGAAGUACCAGAAGUAUACGAAGUAUACAGAUUGCUACAGACUGGUCUGCUGUUAACAGAUUCUGUUUUUGUUGAGUUGGUUGCUUAUUUUGAUGAAACUAUGGAUAGUACCGGGGGGUAUUAGCCAUGGAAGAUUGAAAAUACAGUAACCCAACAUCAACAUAAGUAGAAUUUAUUAAGUUUUCUACAGUACCUAAGGAAGUGGUGGUUUGCUUUCUUAUACUAAUGAUAUCACGAGUUUCUGUUUAAAUUUCGUGUUGUGAAGUUUUCAAGUUUUGGGUGAAGUUCUUAUGGACAAAGAGAUAAAGAGUGGCAAGAUCUCAAGCUUGGGGAUGCCCAAGGCACCCCAAGUUGAUUCAAGGAUGCCGUAAAAGCCUAAGCUUGGGGAUGCCCCGGGAAGGCAUCCCCUNNNNNNNNNNNNNNNNNNNNNNNNNNNNNNNNNNNNNNNNNNNNNNNNNNNNNNNNNNNNNNNNNNNNNNNNNNNNNNNNNNNNNNNNNNNNNNNNNNNNUUGAGGGCCAAGGCAGGAGAGCCACAGGGGGCCCACAAGCCCUGUAGCCGCCACCAGGGGGGCCGGCGGCUACCAGGCUUGUGCCCGCCUGGAGCUCCCCUGCCCUAGCUCUUUCGCCUAUAAAUUCCCUAAAAUCCCAGAAAAUAUUAGGGCAUCCACGAAAACACUUUUCCGCCGCCGCAAGCUUCCGUUUCCGCGAGAUCUCAUCUGGAGACCCUUCUCGGUGCCCUGCCGGAGGGGACUUUGGAGUUGGAGGGCUUCUACAUCAACAUCAUCGCCUCUCCAAUGACUCGUGAGUAGUCCACUUCAGACCUACGGGUUCGUAGUUAGUAGCUAGAUGGCUUCUUCUCUCUCUUGGAUCUUCAAUACAAAGUUCCCCAUGAUCUUCAUGGAGAUCUAUCCGAUGUAAUCCUCUUUGGCGGUGUGUUUGUCGAGAUCCGAUGAAUUGUGGAUUUGUGAUCAGAUUAUCUAUGAAUUAUAUUUGAGUCUUUGCUGAUUUCUUAUAUGCAAGAUUUGAUAUCCUUGUAAGUCUCUCCGAGUCUUGGGUUUUGUUUGGCCAACUAGAUCUAUGAUUCUUGCAAUGGGAGAAGUGCUUGGUUUUCGGUUCAUACCGUGUGGUGACCUUUCCCAGUGACACAAGGGGCAGCAAGGCACGCAUCAUGUUGUUGCCAUCAAGGGUAACAAGAUGGGCUUUUAUCAUAGAUAUGAGAUUGUCCAUCUACAUCAUGUCAUCUUGCUUAAGGCGUUACUCUGUGAUACGUCUCCAUCGUAUCAACUUUUCCAAACUCUUUUGCCCUUGUUUUGGACUCUAAUUUGCAUGAUUUGAAUGGAACUAACCCGCACUGACGCUGUUUUCAGCAGAAUUGCCAUGAUGUUGUUUUUGUGCAGAAAUGGAAGUUCUCAGAACGUCCUGAAAAAUUACGUNAUACGUCUCCAUCGUAUCAACUUUUCCAAACUCUUUUGCCCUUGUUUUGGACUCUAAUUUGCAUGAUUUGAAUGGAACUAACCCGCACUGACGCUGUUUUCAGCAGAAUUGCCAUGAUGUUGUUUUUGUGCAGAAAUGGAAGUUCUCAGAACGUCCUGAAAAAUUACGUAGAAUUUUUCUGGAAAAUAUGAAAAAUACGUGCGCAAAGAUCCAUCGGAGGGGAUGGGCCAGUGGGCCACAAGCCCUGUUGCCGCGGCCUCCCCCAUGGCCGCGGCGACCAAGCUUGUGGGGCCCACGUGGGUCUGCCGCCCCCAACUCCAGCUCUAUAAAUUCACUUUCUUUCCGAAAAAAGUCAGAAGAGAAGAUUUCAUCGCGUUUGCGAUACAGAGGCGCCGCCACAUCUUGUUCUUCAUCUGGAGGGCAGAUCUGGAGUCCGUUUUGGGCUCCGGAGAGGGGAAAUCGUCGCCAUCGUCAUCAUCAACCUUCUUCCCUCUCCAAUUCCAUGAAGCUCUUCAUCGUUCGUGAGUAAUCUAUUCGUAGGCUCGCUAGGCGGUGAUGAGUAGGAUGAGAUCUAUCUUGUAAUCGAGUUAGUUUUGACGGGGAUUGAUCCCUAGUAUCCACUAUGUUCUGAGAUUGAUGUUGCUACUACUUUGCCAUGCUUAAUACUUGUCACUAGGGUCCGAGUGCCUGAUUUCAGAUCUCAAAUUAUUAUGUUGUCACCAAUAUAUGUGUGUUUUAGAUCCGAUCUUGCAGGUUGUAGUUACCUACUAUGUGUUAUGACCCGACAACCCCGGAGUGACAAUAACCGGAACCACUCCCGGUGAUGACCGUAAUUUGAGGAGUUCAUGUGUUCACCAAGUGCUAAUGCGUUGUUCCGGUACUUUAUUAAAAGGAGAACCUUAAUAUCCCGUAGUAUCCUUUUGGACCCCGCUGCCACGGGAGGGAUGGACAAUAGAUGUCAUGCAAGUUCUUUUCCCUAAGCACGUAUGACUACACACGGAAUGCAUGCCUACAUCACAUUGACGAACGGGAGCUAGCCACAUAUCUCUCCGUGUUAUAACUGUUGCAUGAUGAAUGUCAUCCAAACGAAUCACCGACCCAUUGCCUACGGGUUUGUCCCACUGCUGCUGUUACUUGUUUUGCUCUGCUGCUAUUACUACUGUUGCUGCUACUGUUACUUGCUUUGCUCUGCUGCUGUCACCACUGUUGCUACUGUUGCUACUUGCUACUGCUAUUACUUGCUACUGUUGCUACUUGCUACUGCUAUCACUACUGCUGUUCCUUGCCACCGCUGAUACUCGUUACACUGCUACUACUUGCUAGAAUACCUUUUUUCUUGCGCCGUUGACGGGAAAGAAUAUUUUCCGUCCACGGUCAACUUCUGGCGCCAUUGAUAUGACCGUUAGGAAUAGUCUGCCAUCAACAAAUCGUUUCUGACACUGUUGUUAUCAUACUACUUUGUUGCUGAUACUUUGCUUGCAGAUACUAAUCUUUCAGGUGCGGUUGAAUCUGACACAUUCAGCUGCUAAUACUUGAGAGUAUCCUUUCACUUCCUGACGGGCGAACCAACAAAUUUGGGUUGAAUACUCUACCCUCGAAAACUGUCGUGAACCCAUGCGCUGGUGGGCCAUUGCAAGACAAUUGCUAAUUGUUGAGCAACUCGGAGCAAUUCUGGCUCUGUUGUCGCGAAGGCAUCAAUUCAGGGACACGUCAACAACAUUCUUCUAGUGUCGUUGCCGGGGACUGCCGUCAGCAGCAUUUUUUUGGCACCGUUGCCGGGGUAGGGAUUGCUAUAUUCUCUGAGUCACUUGGGAUUUAUAUCUGCUGAUCACUAUGAAGAAUCUGAAAGACCCAGAAACCAAAGUCUUGCCCUCAACUACGAGGGGAGGUAAGGAACUGCCAUCUAGCUCUGCACUUGAUUCACCUUCAGUUAUGAGUAAGUUUGCGACAUCACCUCCUUCUAGAAAUCUUGAUAUGUCGCCUGUGCUUGAUGAUGCUUAUGAUGCUACUGCUAGAGAUGCUAUGCCUGAUACUGCUAGAGAUGCUAUGCCUGAUACUGCUUUGCCUGAUGAUGCUAGAGAUGCUAUUUUGCCUGAUGAUGCUAUGCUUGAUACUGCUAGAGAUACUACUUUGCCUGAUGUGCCACUAGGGGUAUUCCUUGAUGCUCAUAUUGCUAGAGUUACUGCCAAUGCUCGUGAUGCUUCUGAAACUGCCGAUACUAUUGAGAUAGAACCUGCUUUUGCUCCUGCUAGAUCUAGCUCUCCUAGAUAUGAAUUGCCUGAUAUACUUGAGGGUUACGUUAUGGAGGGAGAGAUAGCUGAGGAUUUUCUUGCGUGUAAGGAUACCUAUGACACUGAGAAAUUACUUCUCAAGUGGAAGGAAAAAUCUCUGAAAGCUAGGAUGAAAUACGACCCGAAGUUUGCCACUUCACCUAUCUUUAUCACCGAUAAGGAUUAUGAAUUCGCCCUAUAGNNNNNNNNNNNNNNNNNNNNNNNNNNNNNNNNNNNNNNNNNNNNNNNNNNNNNNNNNNNNNNNNNNNNNNNNNNNNNNNNNNNNNNNNNNNNNNNNNNNNAGAGAAACUUACCUGCGCUCACCUGAAGCGGCCCAGCCCAUCAGGGGCACCACUGUCUUCUUCCUCCUCCCAGGAGGAGAAGCAGUUGCGUGCCCGACGCAUCGCCGGGCACCGCCACGUCCCCUAGCCACCUCCUGCUCGCCCCCGUCCUUAUCUCCUCGCCCGUGGAUGCCCCAGACCCCCCCUUGAGCUCAUCCUCCUCUCCUCUCUCUAGGUUCCCCUUCUCUCUCUCUGCUUUCCCUCGUUGCCUCCAUUGCCGAGCUAGAGCUCGAGCUCGCCUCUCUGGUCUCCGGCCUUCCCUCGCCUCUCCGAGAAGCCCAGAAGGACCGCCCCGAUGCCCUGCUCCUCCUCGCCAUUGGAAUCGAGCCCGGACGACCCCUGUCGUCGCCAUCGCCGUUGUCUUCCUCACCUCCGGCCACCGGCCCCCUUCCAUCGAUUCACCCCCUCCGACGCGACCCCGACCUCCCCGUCACCGCAAAUGGAACCGUCGUGAGCUCACCGUCAUUUCCCCUCUCUUUCCACGUUCUCCCGUGCCGUGUAGCCCCGCUCCCCGCCACGGCCGAACCCCGCCGCCGCUUAGGCUCGUCGCCGGCACCUCUCCGGCGACCUAGCCCCCCCUUCGAGCCCCCUGUGCGAUGUGGUCGAGCCUGGGCUACGCCCAAGUGCUCUCAGCGCUUGUUUCCGGCCCCUGUAGUGCCAUCUAGGCAACUCCGGCGAGCCCUCCGCCGCGGGCUUGGUCGCCAACGACCACCCUCCGGUGAGGGCCAACGUGGCCAGUCGUUAGCCAGUACUAACCCCCCCCCCCAGAGCCACUGCCAGAGGGCCCCACGCCUGGUCAAACCCCAAUUAGGGGCUGGUCAGCGCGGGGUUAGCCUCUGGGUCACUGACCAGUGGGCCCCACUGGUCAGGGUUUGACCUGGCCGGCCAGUUGAACUGCUGACGUCAGUACUGAUGCAAUAUUAGUAUUUCUGUUUAUAAAAUAAAUCCAGGAAAUUGCUAAAACUUGUAAAAAUCAUAGAAAUUAAAAUAUAACUCGGAUGAAAAUAAUUUAUAUAUGAAAAAGUAUCAGAAAAAUCCAAGGAAUCUGAUUAUGGCAUUUUCNNNNNNNNNNNNNNNNNNNNNNNNNNNNNNNNNNNNNNNNNNNNNNNNNNNNNNNNNNNNNNNNNNNNNNNNNNNNNNNNNNNNNNNNNNNNNNNNNNNNACUCACUAUAGGGCGGGCAACAUAUUUUAAAAACACCGACAACCGACCGACGGUAGACCGAAUACGGUGCCGCUACGGUCGACCGUUCGGGUACUAGACGGACUCCGAUUGCGAUGAAACUUGACACGCGGCCUACCUAUAUUAAAAUACGACCGCACGUCAAAUAUCAACCCAAUCAGAGAAGGUUUUAUGCACACUUUUAAAACAAGGUUUUGACGAUGCCGCGGGCGCGUGCGUGUGCGGUCGGGCUCAGAACGGACAACGACGAGAACCGGCAACAAACAACGGAUGCAAGUUUUGGAAACUGGCGGCAACGGAGAUGCCGAUGCAAUGCAGAUGAUGCGCAUGAUGCGAUGAUGAUGCAGCAAAAGAAAAUAGACACACGACGAAAACGGAAUAGAAGGGGAAUCUUCUGGAACGUCGGCCUCGGGCUGUCACAACUCUCCUACACUAUAAGAGGAUCUCGCCCCGAGAUCCAAGAAUGAAAGGAAGAGGGGAUAAGAAAGCAAGAGGUAAAACUUAAUCGCUUCUUUGACAAAUGAGUGAAACCAACAUCCUUGAAGGUUGCAAAGAGAUGAGGAAUGAUAAGAGAAACAAGCAAGAAUUCACGGAAAAUUUCGGCAGCACUUCGGUAGGAAAAUGGGACAAAAAAUUCGAUAAGAUAGGAGAAAUAGACAAUAUUCAUUACAAACAACUAAAUAGAACAAGGGAACACUAUGAUCUUGGUAGACCAACAUAAUAGACCCAAAAGAGCAACAUCACAAUGCCUCCGGAACAAUAGAAUAGGAACUAGCUCAUACGGAAGAAGAGAAUGAAGAGAGAAUGACAACUACUCACUCCAAUGAACUUGGCAAGCAUCCUUGCAAGAAGAAUUGGACGGAGUUGUUGGAAAACAACAGCGAAAGAACAAGAAAGUAGUGGGCUUAUGGAAACCUUUUCAAACUAAUGAAGUGACAACCAGCCACUAACAGAACAAGGAUUGAUUGGGAGAAACAAGAUAUGAACAAUUCCUUACACCAAGAGGAUACAUUGAGAACUUGGAUUAAUGACAAGCACCAUGAUAGCAACAAUCCAUAGGAAAAUCUUUAGGUGAAAUCCAAACCAAGAUAGCUCAAUGAAGAAAUCAUGGGUUGAAAACAUCUCAUGAUCAUAGAAUUGGUGGGUUUAAUUAUCUCAUUCUUGAAAGGAAAUCUCUUCGAAACUCCUACACUAACAAGAAUGCUAUAAUACCACCUCAAAGGAUAAAGGAGAACAAUUGCACAUAGAAAUGCAAGAGAAGAAAACUUGAGGUUCUCCAAUAAGAAUCUUGAAGAACACUUUGAGAAUGAAUUGACAUCAUGAGCCGCUCCGGAAGAAGAAUUCAGAUUACUAUGAACAAGAAUAAGAAUUAUGUUAUGCUUAUCCUUCAUCAAAUUAAGUUGAUGAGAAGCAACGGAUUUAGCAUACCACUUAUUCUUCUUGAAAGAACCUUGAAGAGAUAGAGAGAUAAGCACCACUUGAAGCACAAUUGAAUGAAGCACCGGCAAGAAUUCGAGCUCNNNNNNNNNNNNNNNNNNNNNNNNNNNNNNNNNNNNNNNNNNNNNNNNNNNNNNNNNNNNNNNNNNNNNNNNNNNNNNNNNNNNNNNNNNNNNNNNNNNNGAGAUUUGAAAACAAGCGGGGCAACUGGACUACGGGGUCAGAGGGGAUGACUGCUCCACCUAUACUAAGCAGAUUUAAAGUACAGGACUGAAAGUAGCAGUUCAUCAAAAAUAGGUUAUGCAUCAGAUAUAGGAGCUAACUACAACAGUAGCAAAAUACUAAUGCAAGCAGUAGGAAGAAAGACAUAGGCAAUAUAGGAAUGAUCAAGGGGGGGUUUGCUUGCCUUGCUGCUCUGCGGCAAAGGACUGAUCGGCAGGGUCAUAGAUGUACCCGGCAGCAGAGUCAGUCUCGGGGCCUACCGGUAAGAAGAGGGGGAAGAAACAAUAAAUAAUAGCAACGGUGUGUUGGAAUUAUGCCCUAGAGGCAAUAAUAAAUAUAGUUAUUAUUAUAAUUCAUGUAUCAAGAUAACCGUUUAUUAUCCAUGCUAUAAUUGUAUUGAAUGAAGACUUAUAUACAUGUGUGGAUACAUAGACAAAACACUGCCCCUAGCAAGCCUCUAGUUGGCUAGCCAGUUGAUCAAAGAUAGUCACUGUCUUCUGAUUAUGAACAAGGUGUUGUUGCUUGAUAACUGGAUCACGUCAUUAGGAGAAUCACGUGAUGGACUAGACCCAAACUAAUAGACGUAGCAUGUUGAUCGUGUCAUUUUGUUGCUACUGUUUUCUGCGUGUCAAGUAUUUGUUCCUAUGACCAUGAGAUCAUAUAACUCACUGACACCGGAGGAAUACUUUGUGAGUAUCAAACGUCGCAACGUAACUGGGUGACUAUAAAGAUGCUCUACAGGUAUCUCCGAAGGUGUUCGUUGAGUUAGUAUGGAUCGAGACUAGGAUUUGUCACUCCGUGUGACGGAGAGGUAUCUUGGGGCCCACUCGGUAAUACAACAUCACACACAAGCCUUGCAAGCAAUGUGACUUAAUGUAAGUUGCGGGAUCUUGUAUUACGGAACGAGUAAAGAGACUUGCCGAUAAACGAGAUUGAAAUAGGUAUACGGAUACUGACGAUCGAAUCUCGGGCAAGUAACAUACCGAAGGACAAAGGGAAUGACAUACGGGAUUAUAUGAAUCCUUGGCACUGAGGUUCAAACGAUAAGAUCUUCGUAGAAUAUGUAGGAUCCAAUAUGGGCAUCUAGGUCCCGCUAUUGGAUAUUGACCGAGGAGUCUCUCGGGUCAUGUCUACAUAGUUCUCGAACUCGCAGGGUCUGCACACUUAAGGUUCGACGUUGUUUUAUGCGUAUUUGAGUUAUAUGGUUGGUUACCGAAUGUUGUUCGGAGUCCCGAAUGAGAUCACGGACGUCACGAGGGUUUCCGGAAUGGUCCAGAAACGAAGAUUGAUAUAUAGGAUGACCUCAUUUGAUUACCGGAAGGUUUUCGGAGUUACCGGGAAUGUACCGGGAAUGACGAAUGGGUUCUGGGAGUUCACCGGGUGGCAACCCACCCCGGGGAAGCCCAUAGGCCUUGGGGGUGGCACACCAGCCCUUAGUGGGCUGGUGGGACAGCCCAAGAAGGCCCUAUACGCCAUGGGAAGAAAAUCAAAGAGAAAAGAAAAAAAAGGAGGAGGUNNNNNNNNNNNNNNNNNNNNNNNNNNNNNNNNNNNNNNNNNNNNNNNNNNNNNNNNNNNNNNNNNNNNNNNNNNNNNNNNNNNNNNNNNNNNNNNNNNNNUCAACAGCGGCUAAGCAUAUAUUUGGUGGCUAACUUACGAGUACAAGAAAUAAUAGGGAAGAUCUACGCAUAACGGACGUGAGCUACUGAUGAUCAAAAGAAUGAUCCUGAACACCUACCUACGUCAGACAUAACCCCACCGUGUCCUCGAUCGGAGCAGGGCUCACGAAAGAGACAGUCACGGUUACGCACACAGUUGGCAAGUUUUAAUUAAGUUAACUUCAAGUUAUCUAGAACCGGUGUUAAACAAAGCUUCCACGUUGCCACAUAACCGCGGGCACGGCUUUCCGAAAGAUUUAACCCUGCAGAGGUGCUCCAACUAGUCCAUCACAAAUUACCACAAGCCGCAUAGAAAUCCUCAAUCACGAAGCUCGCGAUCUCGUCGGAUUCCCUAGUGGAAAACCUCAACUGUGAGAUUACCCAAAGCAUCACCGGAAUCCCGAUGCACAAGAUAUCUCGUCAAAGGUAAAACUAAUCCAGCAAGGCCGCCCGACGUGUCGACGAUCCCGAUAUGAGUCGCGUACCUCGUUCUCAGGACACGACGGAUGAGCGAUGGUUACCACGCCAAACGCCGAGUUGCCCCGGGUAGCAUUAAUAAGCUGCUCUGUUUUGGACCAACACUCAUGAGGAGCACUGGCCCGGGGGUUUAUUAAAAUAGUCCGCGGGUGCCGGCGGGUCCCUAUGCAUUAUUAUUAGGUUAUUAGGCAAAUGUAGUACCAAAGUUGGGCCUUGCCAGACCAGCUUUAAUCUAAAACGAAUUAUCAAGGGGGUCCCCAUAACAACCCCGAUCGUGUUAGGAGCGCUCAAUUAUGGAACAUAACACCGGUAGCCGGAAACUAAGGGGGCAAAGGUGGAACAAAACACCAGGCUAGAAAGGCCGAGCCUUCCACCUUUUACCAAGUAUAUAGGUGCAUUAAAUUAAAUAGCAUUUAAAUAUGGUGAUAUAACAAGGAACCCAUGUAAUCACAUGGAAUCAACUGCACCUGCAACUAGCAACGCUAUCAACAGGGUUAAGCUAGCAGUAACAUAGCCAAUAAGUGGUUUGCUAGGUCGAACAGGUUGAAGGUUUCAUGGCAUUGUUGAGAGGCUAAUAUUUAACAUGUGGUAGGCAACGAGACAUAAACGGUAGCAACGGUAAAACUAGCAUGGCAAUGAUAGUAAUGGUAUCUGGGGAAAUGGUCAUCUUGCCUGAGAUCCCGCUUGGAAGAAGAACAUCUCUGUGAAGCAGGCGAACCAACGUAGUCGAACGGGUCCUCACAUUCCGACACGCUUGCGGAACUCUAUCGAGACGGAGCAAACCGGAAACAAAUAUCAACACAGAUAUUCACCACACGAUGCACAACAUGAUGCAUACCCUAAUAUGAUGCAUGAUCAAUUCAAUAUGCAAGGGAUGGCAUGGCAAAUCACCUCACGCAAACACUACACAUCAAUUGAAGCUCGAUAUGCAACGGGUUACAUACCGACGAAACUCCACGAUUAAUUAUUUAGUUCACUCCCGUUUAUUUACACGGCAACAUUAAAUGUUGUUAACAUGGCAAGGGGUGAAGCGAUGAUCCUACGUGUCAUCCUAGUCGGUUUAACUCGCGGAACAAGAGCGGAACUACGGCACGGGAGACAUGCAACACAAGAUCAUAUGCCAUGAAUGCGUCAUGCACGCAAGUUCAAACAUCACGGGCAAGAAGAGAAGGAAACAUGUGUCGCCACGGCAAGCGAGAGGGAACCAUGGCGGCAAGACGGAAACGAAGCCACGACAACGUUCCCAUCCCGAUACUCGUCGAGAUAUCGUGCCAACGAUCUGGAAGCGUGUGCGGGAUCACUAAAUAAGAAUGGGGUGAUCCCGUAUAUCGGGUUCCCAUGUGUCGAGGCACGACGAAAGAAGACAACGGGCAACGGGCCACAUACGGUGCAAACAUACAUUCAACUCAUACAACACAUGCAUACGGUUCUCGACGCGUACCAACGGUAUACNNNNNNNNNNNNNNNNNNNNNNNNNNNNNNNNNNNNNNNNNNNNNNNNNNNNNNNNNNNNNNNNNNNNNNNNNNNNNNNNNNNNNNNNNNNNNNNNNNNNNGUCGUGUGAUUAGAUUUAUUCGUUGCAUCGUCAUGUAGUUUGCAUCAUCGCAUCAUGCAUGGCAUCAUGUCAACUGUGUUUAGUCGGUGUCGCCUGCUGCUCCGUGUUGUUGGGUGAUAGUGCUUCAUGAGUGGCGUUGUUUUGUUGGAGUGAUGAAAGAGGGUGCGUGAGAGCCACCGCUAAGCCCUGUUGCACCGCGGACCUAAAACCUUCUCUCCCCUCUCAUUUCCUUUUUGUGGUUUGGCUAAAUACUUUAGUUUAGUUCCCUAUUUUAAAAAUUAAAGAUUCGUCUUCUUUUAAAGAAAAAACAUUUUAUUAAAUGUGGAGGCAACCCCUUGAGUUUUCUUCAUUUUCUCCUUUUGUUUUAUCUUUAAACAAUCUCAUUUUCUUAUCUCUUUUAAAGAACUUUUAUUUUACACUUUAAAUAAAAUAGGUUUAUUUUAUUCUUUUAAAAAAGGGUUUUGAUUUUUAAUUCUUUAAAAGGUUUCAUUUUACUCUUCGAAAAGGUUUCAUUUUUAUUUGUUUAAAGAGCCCGAUCUAUUUUUAUAGUUGGAGCAUGUUUUAAGGAGCCCAAAAGUAUUUUUGUUUUAGUAAAUUCCUUUUCUUCUGGUUGUGGGUUCCUCUUUUUUUUUUAAAAACCAGCUAUUUUAUUUUUUUGUGCAAGACAUUUUUUUAUUUUAGAAGGAGAGGACCCAGACCAAGGCCCAGCCGGCCAAGGCCCAGGCCCCCUCCAACCCUAGCGUCGUGCUGCGCCUCUCCCUCGUCACCCACAGCGCCGUCUCCUCCCGAUUCUCGUCUCCUCGUUCCCUGCUCCGCCCUGCCGCCUCCAGGUCCCCUUGCCUCGCCGUGGCCACCUCCCUCGCCCUCUCUUCUCCCCUCUACGCGCCGCCAGCCCCAGGCCCGAGCCGCACCGCCCUGCCAGCGCCGAGCCCCCUGCUCGCCGGCCUCCCCUGGUCCUCCUCGCCAUGCGGUCUCCCGCGCGCAGCCGUCCAUCUGCACGUCGAGCCGCCUCUCUGCUCCCCGUCCCCUGCGCCCGCAUCGCCGCCGGUGCCCGACCUGCGCGCCGCCCUCGCCCCCGAGUUCCCCGCGUGCUCGCCCUCGGCCUCGAGCUCGCCGCCCCGGUCGCAGCCUCCCUGCCAUGGCGACCUCGCCGUUCCCCGCGUCGCCCCUCNNNNNNNNNNNNNNNNNNNNNNNNNNNNNNNNNNNNNNNNNNNNNNNNNNNNNNNNNNNNNNNNNNNNNNNNNNNNNNNNNNNNNNNNNNNNNNNNNNNNGACUCACGGGAAGAUAUCACAACACAACUCUAGACACAAAUAAAAUAACAUCAGCUUCAUAUUACAAGCCAGGGGCCUCGAGGGCUAGAAUACGAAAGCUCGAUAAACACACGAGUCAGCGGAAGCAACAAAAUCUGAGUACAGACAUAAAACAUGGGGUGCCUUAGAGAAGGCUAGCACAAAAGAUACAACGAUCGAAUGAGGCGAGGCCUCCUACCUGGGAACCUCCUAACUACUCCUGAUCAUCAGCGGCCUCCACGUAGUAGUAGGCACCGUCGGGGUAGGAGUCGUCGUCGGCGGGAACCUCCAUCUCCUGGGCUCCAUCAUCUGGUCGCAGCAACGGAUCGAGGGGACAAGAGGGGGAGCAAAGCAGAAGUGAGUACUCAUCCAAAGUACUCGCAAGUCUUACAUCAGAACUAUUAUAAUUAUGCAUCAGUAUCAAAGAAGGGGGGGCUAUAUGUGGACUGACUGCAGCAAUGCGAGAAUAAAGAGAGAAGGCCUAGUCCUAUCGAAGACUAGCAUCUUCAGGGUCUUGCAGCAAUAGACGAGAGUAGAACAGGGGUAACACAUUAAAAGUCAUAUUGUUGCAGCAAUAUUAAAGUGAGGUCAUGCCUAAAGAUCCUCCCUCGACUCCCUGCGAGGAAGCAAUCCCGAGGCAAACUAAUUCCAGUUAAGUAACAAUUGUAGUUGUAUAAGAUCGGGGCACAACUCCAAGUCGUCCUNNNNNNNNNNNNNNNNNNNNNNNNNNNNNNNNNNNNNNNNNNNNNNNNNNNNNNNNNNNNNNNNNNNNNNNNNNNNNNNNNNNNNNNNNNNNNNNNNNNNAGUUGCUACUCAUGCUAAGUGGUUUCAACUAUUUACUGUGACAAAAUCAGGUCAUGCAAAGGAAUGGGUUCAACUACCGAUAACAUGUACAGUUGAAUCGUGUUUGUCCUAACGCAGUAAAAGAGAGCAGGAGCGAGAGAGUGGGUUUAUUUCAAUAUGCUCAAGGGGGUUUGCUUGCCUGACACGUCUGAAGAUAGCAAUGAGUCUUCAUCAAUGUCAACGAUCACAUCGUCGGAAACAUCGUUUACCGAGAGGGAACAACACCGGCAAACAAGAAGGAACAACAAUUACUUCACAGAAAUGCAACACUAUGAUGCAUGCUCAAGACAUGAAAUGAAAGGUGGCAGGCCUAAUGUGGCUAUCAUUACUUAAAUUGAAGUUGGUUUGAAUUAGGAUCCAAACAUCACUUCAAGCCGGUUAUUUUUCCGGAUACCCUUUUAAUUGAUUCAACCUGAAGCUCAAAACAAAUUGUUCCAACAUGUAUGGAGUUAGUAUCUUGAGGUACUGAUUUGCAUUGACCCUUGUUUGGUCAUAACAAUUGAAGUGAAAAUCAAAUAAGUAUCAAUUUCCAACUCCAAACUAUUUAUUAAAUUUACCCUAUUCAUCAUUUUGCCUAUUUAGUGUUGUUAACUUUUUCAAACAUGCAUGAAAAUGCCAUAAUCAGAUUCCUUGGAUUUUUCUGAUACUUUUUCAUAUAUAAAUUAUUUUCAUCCGAGUUAUAUUUUAAUUUCUAUGAUUUUUACAAGUUUUAGCAAUUUCCUGGAUUUAUUUUAUAAACAGAAAUACUAAUAUUGCAUCAGUACUGACGUCAGCAGGUCAACUGGCCGGCCAGGUCAAACCCUGACCAGUGGGGCCCACUGGUCAGUGACCCAGAGGCUAACCCCGCGCUGACCAGCCCCUAAUUGGGGUUUGACCAGGCGUGGGGCCCUCUGGCAGUGGCUCUGGGGGGGGGGGUUAGUACUGGCUAACGACUGGCCACGUUGGCCCUCACCGGAGGGUGGUCGUUGGCGACCAAGCCCGCGGCGGAGGGCUCGCCGGAGUUGCCUAGAUGGCACUACAGGGGCCGGAAACAAGCGCUGAGAGCACUUGGGCGUAGCCCAGGCUCGACCACAUCGCACAGGGGGCUCGAAGGGGGGGCUAGGUCGCCGGAGAGGCGCCGGCGACGAGCCUAAGCGGCGACGGGGUUCGGCCGUGGCGGGGAGCGGGGCUACGGGGCAUGGGAGAACGUGGAAAUAGAGGGGAAAUGACGGCGAGCUCACGACGGUUCCAUUUGCGGUGACGGGGAGGUCGGGAUCGCGUCGGAGGGGUUGAAUCGAUGGAAGGGGGCCGGUGGCCGGAGGUGAGGAAGACAAUGGCGAUGGCGACGACAGGGGUCAUCCGGGCUCGAUUCCAAUGGCGAGGAGGAGCAGGGCAUCGGGGCGGUCCUUCUGGGCUUCUCGGAGAGGCGAGGGAAGGCCGGAGACCAGAGAGGCGAGCUCGAGCUCUAGCUCGGCAAUGGAGGCAACGAGGGAAAGCAGAGAGAGAGAAGGGGAACCUAGAGAGAGGAGAGGAGGAUGAGCUCAAGGGGGGGUCUGGGGCAUCCACGGGCGAGGAGAUAAGGACGGGGGCGAGCAGGAGGUGGCUAGGGGACGUGGCGGUGCCCGGCGAUGCGUCGGGCACGCAACUGCUUCUCCUCCUGGCAGGAGGAAGAAUACAGUGGUGCCCCUGAUGGGCUGGGCCGCUUCAGGUGAGCGCAGGUAAGUUUCUCUCUCUCUCUUUUCCUAUUUUUCUUUUAUUUUCUUUCUGGCAUUUAGAUUUAGGAUUUUAAUAAAACAUUUAAUCAUUUUAUAAAACCCUAAAAUAGUAUUAUGUGACAGUAGUAAAAAUAAUCAAUGCCACAAANNNNNNNNNNNNNNNNNNNNNNNNNNNNNNNNNNNNNNNNNNNNNNNNNNNNNNNNNNNNNNNNNNNNNNNNNNNNNNNNNNNNNNNNNNNNNNNNNNNNAUUGAAUUCUUGGUUCUUGGUUAACUUUUCUGUGUGUGGGUUCUUAAGCUUAUGGUCUGUUGGGGAACAUUGCUGAGAAACAAAAAAUUUCCUACGCACACGCAAUACCUAUCCAUGGUGAUGAUCAUCUACCAGAGGGGAGAGUGAAUCUACAUACCCUUGUAGAUCGCUAAGUGGAAGCAUAUAUAACGCGUUUGAUGUAGUGGAACAUCUCCGCGAUUCAAAUCACAGCGUGUCCCGUGAUCUCAUCACGAUCCAUCCCGAUCUAGUGCCGAACGAACGACACCUCCGCGUUCAGCACACAUACAACUCGAUGACAAUCCCCACCUUGUUGAUCCAGCAAGAGGGGUGGAGAGGUAGAUGAGUUAUCCAACACGGAGGAAUGGUGGUGGUGAUGGUGGAUCUAUUCCAGCAGGGCUUCGCCUAAGCGUUGCUGAAAAACCGAUCUAGAGGAAGAACAAAUCUAGAGAGAAGUAGAGGGAGCAUGUGGCAAUUAGGGUUAGCCCUCACCUUUAAAACCUCUAGUAUAUAUAGGAGGGAGGGAGGGGAUGAGGCAGCCUCAAACCCUCAAGGUUUGGCCGAAAUUGGAGGUGCAGAAGUCCUACUCCAAUCCCACCAAGGGUAGGAUUCCCCUUCUCCACUUGGAAACCCUUUCCACCUUUUCCACCUUUGGGUUUCUUUCCUUCCCACCUCCAAUCCGCCUUGGGCUUUAUGGAGGCUUCGUACAGCCCACUAAGGCCUGGUCCAGAUCCUCCCACAGCCCAUGAGACCCUUUGGGGUGGGUGGGCCCACCUGGUGGACCCCAGAAACCCAUUCGUCACUCCCGGUACACUACCGAAAAUGUCUGAAACUUUUCCGGAGUUCAAAAACCACUUUCCUAUAUAUCAAGAUUUACCUCCGGACCAUUUCGGAGCUCGUCGUGAUGUCCAGGAUCUCAUCUGGGACUCCGAAAAACCUUCGGUUACCAACACCUAUAACUCAACUAUACCGAAACGUCACCGAACCUUCAGUGUGCAGACCCUGCGGGUUCGAAAACUAUGCAUACAUGACCUAAGACACUCCCCAGUCAAUAACUGAUGACCCUCAAGUAUAGGGGACCUAUCGUAGUCCUUUCGACAAGUAAGAGUGUCGAACCCAACGAGGAGCAGAAGGAUCCGACAAGUGGUUUUCAACAAGGUAAUAUAUGCAAGCACUGAAAUUGUCGGUAACAAGUAGUUGUGUGGUGAGAUGAUUCGUAGCAAGCAACAAGUAACAAAAGUAGCAAUGGUGCAGCAAAGUGGCCCAAUCCCUUUUGUACAAGGGACAAGCCUGGACAAACUCUUAUAGGAGGAAAAACACUCCCGUGGACACACGGGAAUUUCUGUCAUGCUAGUUUUCAUCAUGUUCAUAUNNNNNNNNNNNNNNNNNNNNNNNNNNNNNNNNNNNNNNNNNNNNNNNNNNNNNNNNNNNNNNNNNNNNNNNNNNNNNNNNNNNNNNNNNNNNNNNNNNNNNNNNNNNNNNNNNNNNNNNNNNNNNNNNNNNNNNNNNNNNNNNNNNNNNNNNNNNNNNNNNNNNNNNNNNNNNNNNNNNNNNNNNNNNNNNNNNNNNNNNNNNNNNNNNNNNNNNNNNNNNNNNNNNNNNNNNNNNNNNNNNNNNNNNNNNNNNNNNNNNNNNNNNNNNNNNNNNNNNNNNNNNNNNNNNNNNNNNNNNNNNNNNNNNNNNNNNNNNNNNNNNNNNNNNNNNNNNNNNNNNNNNNNNNNNNNNNNNNNNNNNNNNNNNNNNNNNNNNNNNNNGAUCUGAACAUAAACUCUUCCACCAAGUAAUCCAACUAGCAUCAACUACAAAGAGUAAUUAACACUACUAGCAACCUUACAAGUACCAAUAGGAGUCGCGAGAUGGAGAUUGGUUACAAGAGAUGAACUAGGGUUUGGAGAUGAGAUGUUGCUGAUGAAGAUGUUGAUGGUGAUGAGUCCCCUCCGAUGAGAGGAGUGUUGGUGAUGACGAUGGCGACGAUUUCCUCCUCCGGGAGGGAAGUUUCCCCGACAGGAUCGUCCUGCCGGAGCUCUAGAUUGGUUCUGCUCAAGUUCCGCCUCGUGGUGGCGGCGAAUCCUCCGAAAAGCCUCUUCGUGAUUUUUUCCAGACCGAAACCCUUCUUGUAGCAAAAGAGGGGGGCAAGUGGGCUAGCAGGGAGCCCACAAGCCCCCUAGGCGCGGCCAGGGGGGUGGCCGCGCCUAGCAGGCUUGUGGCCACUUGCUGGCGCCCCUGUGGCACUUCUUCGGCCCAGUAUUUUUUAUAAAUCCCAAAAAAAACCAUGUUGAUUUUCGGCUUUUGGAGUUGCGCAGAAUAGGCAUAUCAAACUUGCUCAUUUUUAGGCCAGAAUUCCAGCUGCCGGCAUUCUCCCUCUUCAUGUAAACCUUGCAAAAUAAGAGAGAAAAGGAAUAAGUAUUGUACCGUGAAGUGAAAUAACAGCCCAAAAAGCGAUAAAUAUCAACAUGAAAGCGUGAUGCAAAAUGGACGUAUCAACUCCCCCAAGCUUAGACCUCGCUUGUCCUCAAGCAAAAGCCUAGAUCAAUAAACAUGCCCACAUGUUUAGGGAGAGAGGUGUCGACAAAACAAGAUACGAACAUGCGGGCAUCAUGAUCAUGAUCAGAACAGCAAUACCAUCAUAUCAUCUCUUAUGCUAAAGUGACAAUUCAUUCACAAAGUAAAGUAUGGAUCAAGAACCUUACUGAGAAUUAACAACCGAUGGCCUUUAGUCAUUGAAGCAAUUGCAAUUUAUCACAACAUCAGAAAGAGUCAAAUAAGAGCUUGUAAAGCAAUCCACAUACUCAAUCAUCCUUUCGUUCUCUACAAUUGCUACAACUCACGUGGUACUCAUGAGAUCAAAGUUUCAGUUGGACACACAGAAAGAUAGGGGCUUAUAGUUUUGCCUCCCAACUGCUUACCUCAAGGGUAAUGUCAACAAUAAUAAUUCAUGAAUACUUACUUCCAAGUUGACAUAUGAAUAUAGAUCUUUCCCUAGCAUAUGACGUUAGCCAAGAUAAAGGAGAAAUAAGGAAUUGGUGAAGAUCACCAUGACUCUUUCAAGGGCAAAAAGUAAAGGUACAAGAUAGGCCCUUCGCAGAGGGAAGCAGAGGUUGUCAUGCGCUUUUGAGGUUUGGAUGUGUGUCCUCUUAGUGCGGAGGAACGUCACUUUAUAUUGCCUCCUGUGAUAAAGAACUUUAUUAUGCAGUCUGUCGCUUUUAUGUCUUCCUCAUCACAGGUUCGUACAAAGCUUAUUUCCACACACUAAUAGAUCAUACAUAUUUGGGAGCAAUUUUUAUUUCUUGCACCGAUGACAACUUACUUGAAGGAUCUUAUUCAAUCCAUAGGAAGGUAUGGUGGACUCUCAUGGCAAAACUGGGUUGAAGGUUUAUGGAUGCACAAGUAGUAUCUCUACUUGGUGCGGGAGUUUUGGCUAAUAUGAGGUGGAAGCAAUCGUCACAUGCUAAGGGAUCUCUAAUCAUAUAACAUUGUUCAGAACCAAGCAAACACAAUUCAUUAUGUUGUCUUCCUUGGACAACAUCUACUUCUAAGCAUGCAAUAGUUUAGUGAGUGUCCACAAUCAUAGAUGGUGUCAAAGAUGAGAUAUUUAUAUGUGAACCUCUCCUUCUUUAUCACUUCCUUUUAAUUGCAACAAUGACCAAGGUCUACGUUUGUCUACCCUCAACAAGUUUCAAUCAUCAUUCUUUUUAUAUGUGGAGCCAUCACUUCCCAUAAGAUCAUUACAUGAUCUUUCAUGCUUUUGUUCUUUUCUCAUCCUUUUGAUCAUGACAAGAGACAAAGCCCUUAACCAAGACACUCUUUAUUAUAUGGCUCACGAGCUCGAAUACAUCAGGGGUGACACAAAGCAAAACUCAAGCCUAAAACACUAAGACUUUUAUUCUACUAGAGAAAGAGAAAACUUAAAAGGAACAAACUAAAACAAAGGUAAAGGCAAAAGAGGUGAUGGUGAUACGAUUCCGGGGCAACUCCCCCAAGCUUGGCACAAGCCAACGGGAUUGCCCAUACCCAUGCUCAGUUGUCUUUCUUUGGAGGUGAUGGUGGUGGAGUUGUUGCAAUCUUUGAUUCCAAGAGGGCCAUUAAUCUUUAAUUUAUACCUUGGAGAUCUGUGAUAUGUUCCUCCAGCAAAACAACUUCACGAGCGAGAUAAGUAUUGCGAGCAUGAGUUGUUUCACAAGACCUCAAGAGUUCAAUCAAGGAUGGAGACAGUAGGUGGAAGUAGGGUUGGAGGAAAUCCACUUCUUCAACUUCUUCCUUGUUGAGCACAGAUUGCACUUCAUCCCACGCCUGAUUCUUCUCCUUAGUUUUGCCCUUGGUUUCUUUAGCUAGCCUUUACUUAGCCUCCAUGACCUCCAUCCUUUUUAGAUCAACACUUACUUCUCCAUAAACUUGAGGGAGAUUGUUCUCCCCCACAGAUUCCUGAGACAACAUCUUGCUCUAAAUUUGCGACAGAAAACAGGCUCGAAAUGAAAACAGAGGAAAUCUGCAUGAUACAAGGGUCAGACCUUUCGGGAGAUUAUAUAAUGAUUCUUUUCAGACCAGAAAGAGUACUCCGCACGAAAAUGGAGUCCGGGAGGCACACAAGGUGGCCAGAAGCCCCCCCAGGCGCGGCCAGGGGGUGGGCCCGCGCCUGGCAGGCUUGUCGCCUCCUCGCACGCUUUCCGGACUACUUCCAAUUUUUCUAUUUUUUCAAAUAUUCCAAAACGGAGAAAAAAAUCCUACUGGAAAAGUUUUGGAGUCUGUUUUCUUACCGAAUCACAUACCUCUUCGUUUUUGGAGUCUCGAACAGGCUGAUAAAUAUCCCUUAGGUAUUCUUCCGGAGUUCUGGUAUUGAUAAUAUUGCUUUCAACAUUAAUGGGAGUACGUGAGAUAUAAUGCUUGAUUCUCUGUCCAUUUACCACUCUCGGACAAUCACCUUCCAUGUUGUUGAUCUUGAUAGCACCGGAACGAUAUACUUCCUCAACAAUAUAGGGAUCUUACCAUUUAGAGAGAAGCUUGCCUGCAAAAAAGUCUUAAACGAGAAUUAUAUAGCAAGACAUAAUCACCUACAUUGAACUCACACUUUUGUAUCCUCUUAUCAUGCCACCUCUUAACCUUUUCUUUGAACAACUUGGCAUUCUCAUAUGCCUGAGUUCUCCAUUCAUCAAGCGAGCUAAUGUCAAAUAACCUCUUCUCACCAGCAAGUUUGAAAUCAAAGUUGAGCUCUUUGAUUGCCCAAUAAGUUUUAUGCUCUAGCUCAAGAGGUAAAUGACAUGCUUUACCGUACACCAUUUUGUACGGAGACAUGCCCAUGGGAUUCUUAUAGGAAGUUCUAUAAGCCCGCAGUGCAUCAUCGAGCUUCUUAGACCAAUUCUUUCUAGACCUGUUGACAGUAUUUUGCAGAAUCAGUUUAAUCUCUCUAUUGCUUAGCUCUGCUUGACCACUGGACUGAGGGUGAUAGGGAGACGCAAUUCUAUGGUUGACAUCGUACUUAGCAAGCGUUUUACGGAAAGCACCAUGAAUGAAAUGUGAACCACCGUCGGUCAUUAGAUAUCUAGGGACUCCAAAUCAAGGGAAAAUAACUUCUUUAAGCAUCCUGAUAGAGGUGUUGUGAUCAACACUACUAGUGGGGAUAGCUUCUACCCACUUAGUGACGUAGUCAACAGCAACUAGGAUAUGAGUAUACCCGUUGGAUUUUGGAAAAGGUCCCAUAUAAUCAAAGCCCCAAACAUCAAAUGGUUCAAUGACAAGUGAAUAGUUCAUAGGCAUGUCCUGACGUUUACUGGUAUUACCUAUUCUUUGACAUUCGUCACAAGACAAGACAAAUUUACGAGCAUCCUUGAAGAGAGUGGGCCAAUAGAAACCUGAUUGCAAUACCUUGUGUGCAGUUCUAUCUCCCGCAUGGUGUCCUCCGUAGGCCUUGGAGUGACACUUCUGUAGGAUUUGUCCCUGUUUAUGUUCAGGUACACAACGUCUAAUAACACCAUCUACUCCUUCCUUAUAAAGGUGAGGAUCAUCCCAAAAGUAAUGUCUCAAGUCAAAGAAGAAUUUCUUCUUUUGCUGGUAUGUGAAACUAGGUGGUAUAUAUUUGGCAACGAUAUAGUUUGCAUAAUAAGCAUACCACGGUGCACUACGUGAAGCAUUGAUGACACUCAAUUGCUCACCGGGAAAGCUAUCAUCAAUAGGUUGUGGGUCAUCAAGAAUGGUCUCCAACCUAGACAAGUUAUCUGCUACUGGGUUAUCAGCACAAAACAAAACAAAAGAAAAAGAGGAAAUUAGAAAGAGGAAAUAAUAGANUUCAACAUGAAAGUUGAUCAGCACAACGAGACGAACCCGGAUACACGGUCCAUUCGUGUGUCACGCGUCCCUAGCAUAGCAAACAUGGAACAUUUCCAUCGUUUCUAGUAUGACCGGUAGUAGCCCGAGACCCGAAAAAUAUUGUCAGAUAUUCUUCCGACCCGUCUAUGACGGAUGUUGCUGCGUUAGCUCAUGUCUAGCCUACAUCUUGCCAUGUCAUGCUUUGUGUUGCACCAUUGCUAUUAUUUAUUGUUUCUUCCCCCUCUUCUUACCGGUAGACCCCGAGACUGACGCUGCUGCUGGGUACAUCUACGACCCUGCCGAUCAGUCCUUUGCCGCAGAGCAGCAAGGCAAGCAAACCCCCCUUGAUCAUUCCUAUAUUGCCUAUGUCUUUCUUCCUACUGCUUGCAUUAGUAUUUUGCUAUUGUUGUAGUUAGCUCCUAUAUCUGAUGCAUAGCCUAUUUUUGAUGAACUGCUACUUUCAGUCCUGUACUUUAAAUCUGCUUAGUAUAGGUGGAGCAGUCAUCCCCUCUGACCCCGUAGUCCAGUUGCCCCGCUUGUUUUCAAAUCUCGAUCUCUGAUCGACGAGCCAGACCUGACACAACACUUACACCCCCUUCGUUGUACGAUGCUACAAGGAUACUAUCGGGUACCGAGGGUGACACCUCGCUAAGUACUCCUGAUGAUAUCUCUGUAGUAUAGCUAGUCGGUCGUGGUUAUCGAGGGUGAUUCCUCUUUCACCAUUCCCAAUGAUGCCUCUGUCGUGCAACCCCUCAAGUGUGGGACCCCCAAGGGUGAUUCCUCUAAGCCCACCUUGACGGGUACAUCAUUCGGAAUCCAACUAGGGUGAUACCUCGGAUCCCCCCCGAUGUUACAACCACACAGUUACUCGACCAUGUUACUGGGAUCGUUGAUGUUUAGUUGUAAGACGGGUGGAUUCCCGUGAGACUGUGUUGUUGGCCUAAUUAAAAUGUUAAUGGAUUUGGGUAUUUGAUCUGGGUUGGUUGGAGACCUUUUCGCACUAACCUGCUACGUGGGAAGAAUUAUGGGUACUCGGCGUCACGGUAUCAGCCGAAGCUUUUCAGAUGUCAGCAAUCGUAGUGGCGCAUGCCCGAGUGGUCUCGAGAUGCAUUGCGCUUGUGAUUAAGGGAUGCUAGGACUGACGUUGGCCGCCCUCGCAUCGUGCAGGAGCGCGGAGGGGAACUGGGCCCAUGAACCCUUUGCGCUUAGGAUUUAGACCGGCGGGCUGACCUCUCUGAUUAGUCUUAGGUGGGGCUGCGACGUGUCGAUAUUCCGAGGCCGGGCAGGACCCAGAAAAGUAUGUCCGGCCAGAGUGUUAUCGAGCGUGACAGGACAUGUGGUGCACCCCUGCAGGGAUGAAAAUUAACUAUUCGGAUAGUCGUGUCCACGGUUAUAGGACGACUUGGAGUUGUGCCCCGAUCUUAUACAACUACAAUUGUUACUUAACUGGAAUUAGUUUGCCUCGGGAUUGCUUCCUCGCACGGAGUCGAGGGAGGAUCUUUAGGCAUGACCUCACUUUAAUAUUGCUGCAACAAUAUGACUUUUAAUGUGUUACCCCUGUUCUACUCUCGUCUAUUGCUGCAAGACCCUGAAGAUGCUAGUCUUCGAUAGGACUAGGCCUUCUCUCUUUAUUCUCGCAUUGCUGCAGUCAGUCCACAUAUAGCCCCCCCUUCUUUGAUACUGAUGCAUAAUUAUAAUAGUUCUGAUGUAAGACUUGCGAGUACUUUGGAUGAGUACUCACUUCUGCUUUGCUCCCCCUCUUGUCCCCUCGAUCCGUUGCUGCGACCAGAUGAUGGAGCCCAGCAGAUGGAGGUCCCCGCCGCCGACGACUCCUACCCCGACGGUGCGUACUACUACGUGGAGGCCGCUGAUGAUCAGGAGUAGUUAGGAGGUUCCCAGGCAGGAGGCCUCGCCUCGUUCGAUCGUUGUAUCUUUUGUGCUAGCCUUCUCUAAGGCACCCCAUGUUUUAUGUCUGUACUCAGAUUUUGUUGCUUCCGCUGACUCGUGUGUUUAUCGAGCUUUCGUAUUCUAGCCCUCGAGGCCCCUGGCUUGUAAUAUGAAGCUGAUGUUAUUUUAUUUGUGUCUAGAGUUGUGUUGUGAUAUCUUCCCGUGAGUCUUUGGGUUUGAUCGUACACAUUUGCGUAUAUGAUUAGCAUAUGAUUAAAUCGAGGGCGUCACAAGUUGGUAUCAGAGCCGACUGCCUCUAGGUAGCCCCCUUUCCAACUCCUUGGCCGAAGUUUAGUCCAGUGUUUGAAAUACUUUACUAACACUGAUGUUGUGCCUUACGGGCCCACAUCUCAAUUGGGUGGUAUUAGUAUCUUUUACUCCUUCCUAUACUCUGGGUUCUACUCUCUCUUCUCUUUCGGGUCAAAGAUUUUACUAACUCUAACAUUAGGUUCUCGAAUCACAUCGACCCGGAGCGCUGGACUAUCUACUCUUUCUCCUGAAUAUAUAUUACACACACUGUCUUUUGACAUCCGUCAAUCUUAUUUUCAGAUGCGUCCUGCAAGACAGCACGUGCGCCUGACACAGGCCAAUGAGACGACUGGGUUCCCGGCCAUUUUGGUCGACCUCCUGACCAGGCUGGGAUAUCGCUGGUACCCCGAGUACACUGUGUUCGAGGAUUUCCGCGAGUACAACCAGUACCAGUACCAGGAUGAGGUUCGCAUCUUCGACCAGAGGGGAGGCAAGACCCUCGAGCGCCACGUCUUCUGUGGUAUUGGAGUGUCGGUCGAGAUGGCCGUCCAUGAUGUGGCCUACAUCGCCAUCACCUGUCUCCAUGGAGCGUACCCUCACCUGGAGGAGAGCCCUUUCAGAUACAUCCCGCAUGCUCCUGCUUGGGAUGAGACUGGGUCUGAUCUCACUGCCUACGCUUCUGAAGUUCGGGAGCGCAUCGACCGUUCCUACGUCGCUGUCUGCGCCCCCUACGUGACGCGUCGCUACGACGCACGGUUUCUGGUGCAGUACACUCAGGCAAUGGAUCGUGCUUUCCGAGCUCUAACUGUGGAGCUGUAUGCUACGCGCGCUCGUCUUUACGACGCGUUGACAGAGCUGCAACCAUCACACUGCCCGAGGGUUCCCCCCUAUGCGCAUCCGCGAGCCGAGCAGGACAGAGCUACCAUCAGCUCUCGAGUGGACUGAUGUUGGGGGUAGAAACCCUGCACUUGGACCUCAGCUCCUCGACUGGAUGCGGUACCCUCACCAGAGUCACAACGGGACACAGGGUCCUGUUACUACCUUCUAUCACCGCCAGCUACCAGGAUUCGAUCGUCCUCUCCGACGUUGAUGUAGCCUUAUCGCUACAUCUUGUUGUGGUACUCUUCCACCGCGUGCCUGCGCGCCGCCUAGUGAGUCCAGGGUAUCGUCUAAUGCGUCUGGGCUAUCGCAAAAUUUCGAAUUUGUAAUCGUUAGUCUGUACUCGAACUUAUGUGUGGGUCUGUAUGUCGAACUCAACUACUAUGGAGUAACUAUCGCAUUUCCCUUUCAUUAUGCUUGAUUACUUCGUGAAUGUGUGCGAUGCCUUUGCAAUUACUUUAAGCUAAACUACCCCUGUUAAAUAUUUAACAGGAUGGUUAGACCAGCUGGCCGCCCGCGUGCCCCUGCCAACGAUGCACCACCCCCGCCUCCUGAGUAUAUGGCGGGGAUGAUCCAACAGUUUGAGCUGAACCGUCAGUUUAUGCAAGGGCUCAUGGAUCAGUUCCAAAGGCCGAACAUGAACCAACCACAAGGCGUGACACUGCAAGACUUCUGCCGCCUCAACCCUGCGAUCUACCGCAGCUCAACUCAGCCUCUUGAUGCCGAUGACUGGCUCCGUGACAUUUCUUAUGAGCUGGAGUGUGCCAAUGUGCCCCAGGCGAGCUAUGUCAACUUUGCCGCCUACUUUCUGAAGGGUCCCGCUGCUCAAUGGUGGGACAGCCACAGGCGCUCUCAGCCCGAUGGAACUAUCAUCACUUGGGCAGAGUUCAAGGCUCCUUUCCGUGCUCGCUACAUUCCCUAGGGAAUCAUGGACUAGAAGAAGCGUGAGUUCCGCAACUUGGUCCAGGGCAACAAGACUGUGGAUGCUUAUCAGCGGGAAUUUCUCGACUUAUCUCGCUAUGCUGAAGAAGACAUUGCAACUGAUGCACGCAGGCAGGAGAAGUUCCGUGAAGGCCUCCACCCUGAUAUCAAGCUGACACUCCUCGUUCAGGACUAUGCUGAUUUCGCCACCCUGGUGAACAAGGCUAUUCAGGUUGAGACUGGUCUGCAGGAAUACAAAGAUAGCAGCAAGCGCAACCGUGACAUGGGCUCAUCUUCGGGCUCAUGUGCACAGAAGCGAAAGAUCUGGAUUCCCAACAACAUGUACCAUGCACCUGCUCCUGCUCCGAGGCUGUCCUAUGCUGCACCUCGCCUACCUCCUCCACCACCUAGGCAGCCGAGGCUUCCAGCUCCACCGCCUCGAGUUCCUCCUUCCCGUCCUGAGGACGGGCUGUGCUUCAAGUGUGGCCGUCCAGGUCACCGUGCUAGAGACUGCAGGCAGAAUCCGAAUCAGCUGACACUUCCCGCAACUGGCAGUGGCAACAACCAGAACCGCAACUUCAACGCUAAGCCUGCUUAUGUUCGUGGUCAGGCCAACAACAUUGAUAUGGGUCAAGCUCAAGACCAGCCUACUACCGUGAUGGGUACACUUCUCGUUAACUCAGUACCUGCUUCUGUAUUGUUUGAUACAGGAGCAUCACAUUCCUUUAUGUCGGAAAGUUUUGCAUUCAUGCAUGGCAUUAAGUACGAAGAGAUGAACGUCCCAAUAGUUGUAAACACCCCCUCGGGCCAAUGCCGACCCUCCAUGGUCUGCUCCAAUGUCCCAUUGAAAUUGAAGGAUUGGAAUUCUUUGCCUCUCCCAUGUUAUUAAGUUCUUCCAACAUUGAUCUCAUACCGGGGAUGGACUGGUUUAAAGCUCAUACGGCAUCGGUCGUUUGUGCCACCAAGACCGUCCACCUCCUACACCCUUCAGAUGAAUUAAUAAGCUACCAUGCUCAUCUCGUCCGUAAUGCUGAGGCACGGUUGUAUGCUUUGAAUGCAUUAAAUGCGUCGCCUCUUGAAGGGAUUGAAAACAUCCCAGUGGUCCGAGAAUUUCAAGAUGUCUUCCCAGAAGAACUUCCGGGGAUUCCCCCUACUCGAGCUGUCGAGUUUGUCAUUGACUUGGUACCCGGUACCACUCCUAUUGCAAAGCGCCCUUAUAAAAUGCCACCACAUGAACUCCUUGAACUUAAGCAAGAAAUUGACAACUCGCUCCGUCUGGGUUUCAUCCGUCCGAGUUCCUCUGCUUGGGGAGCACCUUCUCUCUUUGUUAAGAAGAAGGAUGGGACAAAUCGAUUGGUUCAAGACUAUCGUCCUAUCAACCAGGCCACUAUUCAAAACAAAUAUCCUCUCCCUCGGAUAAAUGAUUUGUAUGAUCAACUUGCUGGUUCCACCGUCUUCUCUAAGCUCGACUUGAGGUUGGGAUACCACCAGAUCCAUGUUCGCAAGGAGGAUAUUCCAAAGACCGCCUUUGUUACUCGAUAUGGAUCAUACGAGUACACCGUCAUGUCCUUCGGCUUAACCAAUGCACCGGCAACCUUCUCUCGAUUGAUGAAUUAUAUAUUCAUGGACUACCUCGACAAAUUUGUCAUGGUAUAUCUGGAUGAUAUUCUGGUAUUUUCGAAGAACAAAGAAGAGCAUGCUGAACAUCUUCGUCUUGUACUGGAUAAGCUUCGGGAGCAUAAACUCUAUGCGAAGUAUUGCAAAUGUGAGUUCUGGCUAGACGAAGUGACUUACCUUGGUCAUGUGAUUUCCAAGGAUGGUAUUGCGGUCAACCCCGAACGAAUUCAAGCUAUUCUUGUCUAGACUCCCCCGAAGAAUGUUAAGCAAGUCAGAAGUUUUCUCGGACUCGCCAGCUAUUGCCGUCGAUUUGUCGAGAACUUCUCCAAGAUUGCGAAGCCCUUAACCAAUCUGCUUCACAAAGGUGUUAAGUAUGAGUGGACUGAUAAAUGUCAGGAAAGUUUCCAGGCGCUCAAGGACAAACGUACGUCCGCUCGAGUACUUGCUCCUCCAGAUACGAAAAGGGAUUUCGUCAUAUACUGUGAUGCUUCUCGUCAAGGAAUAGGUUGUGUCCUAAUGCAGGAUCGCAAGGUGAUCGCUUAUGCUUCACGUCAACUGCGUGCUCAUGAAGAGAACUACCCAGUUCAUGAUCUCGAGCUUGCCACAGUCAUUCAUGCAUUGAAGGAAUGGUGACAAUACCUUGUCGGUAAUCGCUGUGAAAUCUACACCGACCAUCAAAGUCUGAAGUACUUGUUCACUCAACCGGAGCUGAACCUACGUCAACAAAGAUGGAUGGAGCGUAUAGCAGAUUUUGACUGUAGUAUAUCAUAUACCCCUGGCAAGGCUAACAUAAUGGCUGAUGCCUUGAGUCGCAAGUCAUACUGCAACCACCUCCAGGUUCAUAAGGUUCACGAUCGUCUGCAAGAGGAAUUCCGUAAGCUGAACCUCCACGUUGUUCCUCAGGGUUACCUUGUUCCCCCUCCUGAAGAGUGUCAAAAUAUGAACCUUCGUGUUGUUAAUCAGGGUUCCCUCAGUAACCUAGUGGUUGAACCAGAUCUUGUGAGCUCCAUAAAGAAUCUGCAAGGCUUUGACGAUGAUGUCGACAUGAUUAAGAGCUAUAUUGCGAAGGGUAAACCCUCCUUUUUCACUGUUGAUGAAGAUGGCGCCUUGUAUUUCAAGGGUCGCCUAUUCGUCCCAAAUAAGAAGGAAAAUCUCAGGAUGACCGGGAAGGUGAUGGAAGAAGCUCAUGACACACCAUUGUCUAUUCACCCGGGUAGUACCAAGAUGUACCAAGACAUCCGGCAAAGAUUCUGGUGGCCCAAUAUGAAACAAGACAUUGCAUGCUAUGUGGCAGAAUGUGAUAUAUGUCGGCGUAUCAAAGCAGAACACCAAAAGCCUGCUGGGACUCUGCAACCUAUCUCUAUUUCGGAGUGGAAAUGGGACCAUGUUGAAAUGGACUUUGUCACUGGUUUUCCCAGAUCUCAGAAAGGUAAUGAUGCUAUUCUUGUCGUCAUUGAUCGACUGUCCAAAGUUGCACAUUUCCUGGCCGUCAAAGAAACAAUUAAUGCUAGUCAGCUGGCAGAUCUUUAUAUGUCAAGAGUUGUUUCACUUCACGGUAUUCCGUUGGUAAUCAGUUCGGACCAUGGCAGCUUGUUCACUUCAAAAUUCUGGGAAAGUUUUCAGAAGGCUAUGGGGACUCAUCUGUCCUUCAGCACUGCAUUUCAUCCUCAAUCCCAGGGACAAGUUGAACGAGUCAACCAAAUUCUCGAGGACAUGCUUCGAGCUUGUGUCAUUUAUUUCGGUAAGAAAUGGGAGGAAUAUCUCCCGUAUGCCGAGUUCUCUUACAACAAUAGCUAUCAAGCUAGUCUGAAGAUGGCCCCUUUCGAAGUAUUGUAUGGGCGAAGGUGUCGAACUCCUCUGAAUUGGUCAGAAAUUGGGGAACGAUCACUCUUCGGUCCAGAUAUUAUUCAACAUGCCGAAGAUCAAGUCUGCAUUAUUCAUGAGAAUCUGAAGGCUGCUCAGUCUCGUCAGAAGAGUCAGUAUGACCGUCAUCAUCAAGAUAUGGUCUAUCAACCUGGCGAAAAGGCUUAUCUUCGUGUCACACCAAUGAGAGGUGCACACCGUUUCGGAAUCAAGGGCAAGUUAGCUCCUCGUUAUAUUGGUCCUUUCACUGUUAUCGAAAGGCGUGGAAGAGUGGCUUAUCAAUUGGAACUGCCGGCGAACCUUUCUCAGGUUCACGAUGUCUUCCAUGUUUCUCAGCUCCGUCGCUGCUUCAAGGACCCUAUUCGAGCAGUGGAUCACGAUAUGCUUGAGCUACAACAAGACCUCUCUUAUAAAGAGCAUCCGGUCCGCAUUCUUGACCAAGCUGAACGUAAGACUCGUCGCAAGGUCACCAAGUUCCUUAAGGUGCAGUGGUCAAAUCACUCUGAAGAUGAAGCCACUUGGGAACGCGAGGAUCAUCUUAGUGAUGAAUACCCCAGGCUCUUUCCCUCUACCUCUUAAUUCUCGGGACGAGAAUUCUUGUUAGUAGGGGAGAAUUGUGACAUCCUCGACUUUUGCUACAGUAAAUAUUGUAAUUAAGCUACAGUGAUCACCCGCUAAUGAUGCCACAUCAUCGAGAAUUACCGUCGUUGACCCGCAUUGAAUUUCUAUCCGGAUUCAGAAAUUGAAAACAAAAGAAAAGUAUAUUUAUAAAUUCAUAUUAACUAUUAAAGGAAGACAUGUAUAGAAAGAAAGUAUUAAAAAUAAUAAUAAUAAAAGAAAGAAAAGAAAAGAAAUUAAAAAAAGGAAAUUAGAAAGAGGAAAUAAUAGAAAAAGAAAAAAAACAAAAAAAAAGAAAAAAAAAGAAAAAA
rnacentral:lncRNA from 1 species